rnacentral:rRNA from 1 species
AGUGAACGCUGGCGGUAGGCCUAACACAUGCAAGUCGAACGGCAGCACAGUAAGAGCUUGCUCUUACGGGUGGCGAGUGGCGGACGGGUGAGGAAUACAUCGGAAUCUACUUUUUCGUGGGGGAUAACGUAGGGAAACUUACGCUAAUACCGCAUACGACCUACGGGUGAAAGCAGGGGAUCUUUGGACCUUGCGCGAUUGAAUGAGCCGAUGUCGGAUUAGCUAGUUGGCGGGGUAAAGGCCCACCAAGGCGACGAUCCGUAGCUGGUCUGAGAGGAUGAUCAGCCACACUGGAACUGAGACACGGUCCAGACUCCUACGGGAGGCAGCAGUGGGGAAUAUUGGACAAUGGGCGCAAGCCUGAUCCAGCCAUACCGCGUGGGUGAAGAAGGCCUUCGGGUUGUAAAGCCCUUUUGUUGGGAAAGAAAAGCAGCAGGUUAAUACCCCGCUGUUCGGACGGUACCCAAAGAAUAAACACCGGCUAACUUCGU